UCGAAGAAAGAAAAGAAAUUUUUUGGUGAUAACCAAACUGAUGAAACAACAACAUGUAACAAGAAUAAAUUUUAUUCAACAAAGCAGUUGGCUUUGGACAUUUCGAAACCAAUUAAGCUGUUUUAAAUAAGUAUUUACUCAUUUUUUUUUUCAAUUAUGCGUUUGCGAUGAGUAUAUAUCUAUCAAAAAGGUUGCAUUCGUUAAAAGGCAUUUUCUAUAGAUGUUAUCUGGUUUUCGAAGUGCACAAUAUCUGACGUUUCGAAUUAAUCGCAUUGAUUGAAUGUUUUCUCAAUAAAUUAAAGUGUCAUAAAAGAAGGCAUUGUUCAUUUGGAAUGAGUUUUAACGCCAUCUUGAAUGUGUGACAAUCGCCAUCUUGAAAUUAGAUGUUGGUAUAUAAAUAUGUAUAUACCUACACUGCACACCAGUCAAACGAUUUAAUAUCGAUUUGUUAACGGAAUUAACAACUAAUCGAAUUGGAGGAAAAACAGAAAUUUUACUUACUGCUUAUUUUCAUGCCGCCAGGUACAGGAUUGGGUGGUUGCUUAUUACCCUCAGCAAAUGAGGUUGUCCUUGGCCGUCCGCUCAUCUCGCUCGUGGCCACAAUUGGAA